GACAGAGGUGCCGAGCGUUAGGCGGAAUCACUGGGCUUAAAGCGUGUGUAGGCGGUCCGUUAAGUGCCUUGUGAAAUCCCCCGGCUCAACCGGGGAACGGCUGGGCAGACUGGCGGACUUGAGACACUCAGGGGUCAGCGGAACAAAUGGUGGAGCGGUGAAAUGCGUAGAUAUCAUUUGGAACGCCGAUGGUGAAAAACAGCUGACUGGGGGGUGUUCUGACGCUGAGACACGAAAGCCAGGGGAGCAAACGGG
rnacentral:rRNA from 1 species